GUGCUUGCUUCAGCAGCACAUAUACUAAAAUUGGAAUGAUACAGAGAAGAUUAGCAUGGCCCCCAUGCAAGGAUAGCAUGCAGAUUUGUGAAGCAUUCCAUAUUUUU